rnacentral:lncRNA from 1 species
CGCGCGCUGGAGUGAUGGAGGGGAAGAGAUUCGCUUAGACACACACACGCGCACACAGCUGGGCACGUCUCCGGGAGGCAGCCGCCGGGGGCCGGGCGGCGGCCGUGACAGCACCAGCCGCAGGGACUCGGGCGCCCACACAGCUUGGCCCCUGCGGCUCCAAAGACCGGGAAGGCAAGAUCCCAGCCUCACUGACAGUUGCUCUUUUGGGCAGAUCAGGAGGAAGCAGGCUGCCCAGGGUGCUGUCACCGAGGACCCAGGAGGCUCUCCGUUCGGCGCUCAGAGUCCGGGGCCGCGCCGGUGCCCGCGUGGGGCGAGGAGGAUGCUCACCUCCUCCCGCAGAUCAGCUGCGGGCCCCGGCACUGAGCGGACUCCGGUUCCGGCGGUCGCCCCUACCUUGCCCGCGCCGCGGGAGCGCGCUCUGCCGUACCUGGCUCCAGCCUCCUGGGGAAGUGCAGGAAACGAGCCCUAAACUCCACUACUUCUCGCCGGCCUCCUCCCCCUCGAGGCUCCCCGCCCUGGACCUCGCCGCCGCCGCCGCCGCCUGCGCCUAAGGCCCGCCCGCCUCUUACUCUCACACGCGCACGCACAGCUCCGCUAGCUCGCUCCCAUCCACGCAGACUCGCUCUCCGCCGAGCCCAAGCCCGGGCGUCCGAAACUACUGGCCCAACUGCCAACGGGACUGCAGGAGACGCCCCGGGGCCCGGUGCGACCUGCCGGGGGCCCCCGCGCCCUGGGCUCCCGCCUGCGCCACUGUCGCCGCCGGGGACGUUGGUGCACAGCGAGCAAACCUCCUCCACAACCCUGGAAGCACCUCCUCUUGCUGGACUCCGCUCUCUGGCUUCCCGCCUGGAGGACUUGAGGGCGCCCACCCAAGGGAGCCGCUGUUCACAUCCUGGUUGCCCCAGUACUCACCCGGUUGGAGGACUCUACCCCAAAGGGACCUGGGCUGUCAGAGCAGCAUCUAUGGGGACGUUGCUGAUCUUGGCAUAGGAGAAAGACGUCAGUGUGGAAGACAGGAUAGCCAUAAAGCUACCCUCUGCAACUGACAGAAGUCACUUGUGUUCAUUCUAUUAACCAUGUCAAUUCCUAUGGCCAAGUCUGAUGUCAGUGAGGCAAGAAAAUAGUCUUCUCUCAGAGAGGAGCAGUGAAUAUUUGGAAUAGCUUAACACUGUCUAUGAAAUUACAUAUGAAAUCUCAUCAUAUCUCAACACUAUGGUCUAUCGAGUCUUUUUAGUGGGUAAUUCAAACCUUCAGAGAGAUUAGAAAGGAUAGGUGGCAAGAAGAAGGGAACUAAGCUGCAAGGAAUUUUCUCAAGGGCUACUUGAGCGGCUUCUAUAAGAAUGACCUCCAGGAUUUUUGUCCUUUCACAAAUAGGUUUCUUCUCAUUUAUUGCUUUUGCUAAAAUGAAUUUUAGGCAUUAUCAAAAGGGAAUUUACACAUGGUACUAUUGCCUUUUUGAAUUUAGAAUAUAUAUUUAGAAUUUGGAAUCGCUUUCUCUGGUGUCAGUUCUGCAGCUGAUUUUUUUAAUGUGUUAUGUGAGCAAAUGUAGAUUGUAACUAUAAACACAGUGCAAGGAAGAAGCAGACCCAUCUGUCUCUUUCAAACUUGAUUAGGGAAGGGUGUGCAGAUAAUAUUUUUAGUAUGGUCUUAAAAUUAAGGUUAAGUUGCUUUGAAGCAAGUUGACUACCAGAGAUUUAUUCAUUUUGAGGGUUAAGAUAAAACAAAUAGAAAAUAUAUACACAUUCCCAAAGACACAUUAUGUUGCUCCUUUAAAACCACAUUUAUUUUUUGAUUGCAUGGGAAAUAACAUUUGCAAGCAUAGAGAGCUUUCCUCCUCUGACUUUGGUGAUAGAAAUUUUGAAAUAGCAAACAAUUUUAUUACCUGUAGUUAAUACUAUUGGCAAGAAUUGAACAUGCUAGCAGGGAAAAGUCUAUAUACUACCAUGCACUUAUAAAUGAAAAAAAAUUAUAAUAUAGUAAUAUAAACAUCAUAGAUAAAAUUCAAUAAUGAAUGUAAGAAAAAAAGUGGUUUUUCCAGUUGUUCUAGAUCAAAUUUUAAUAGUUUAUCUGAAAGACUUCUCUAUCAAGUCACCAUCUUAUUAAAUUAAGUGACCCCCCCAAAAAAAAACAAAUACAAGACUAACUUUAUUUUUUCCUCUUCUUCCAUUACCAUGGGAAACAGAAAAAUGCCAAACAAUCAGAUAAAUAGUCAGAUGCUCGGUUUAUUGAGAAAAACACUGGGAAGGGCCAUUAGUGGCUCUGAUGAGGAAAAAUUUUAAAAGAAAAGAGAGCUGAGGAAAGGUUCAUUUGUACCGUAUAUUAGAUUCCAGAUAUAAGUGAUAUCAUAUGCUAUUUGUCUUUCUCUUUCUUACUUACUUCACUUAGUAUGAGAGGACUAGGAAUUUGACCUAGAUGCAAACUAUUGCCUUUGGAGUGGAUAAACAAUGAGAUCCUGCUGUAUAGCACUGGGAACUAUAUCUAGUCACCUAUGGUGGAGUAUAAUAAUGUGAGAGAAAGAAUGUAUAUAUGUAUGUGUGACUAGGUCACCUUGCUAUACAGUAGAAUAUUGACAGAACACUGUAAACCAGCUAUAAUGGAAAAAAAUAAAAA